UACGUAGGGACCAAGCGUUGUCCGGAAUCAUUGGGCGUAAAGAGCGUGUAGGCGGCUUGUUAAGUCUUGCGUGAAAUCUCGGGGCUCAACCCCGAGCGGUCGUGAGAAACUGGCAGGCUAGAGUGCGGGAGAGGAGAGUGGAAUUCCUGGUGUAGCGGUGAAAUGCGUAGAGAUCGGAAAGAACACCAACGGCGAAAGCACUCUGCUGGGCCGACACUGACACUGAGAGACGAAAGCUAGGGGAGCGAAUGGG
rnacentral:rRNA from 1 species